rnacentral:rRNA from 1 species
CCUACGGGAGGCUGCAGUGGGGAAUAUUGCACAAUGGGCGCAAGCCUGAUGCAGCCAUGCCGCGUGUGUGAAGAAGGCCUUCGGGUUGUAAAGCACUUUCAGCGGGGAGGAAGGCGUUAAGGUUAAUAACCUUGUCGAUUGACGUUACCCGCAGAAGAAGCACCGGCUAACUCCGUGCCAGCAGCCGCGGUAAUACGGAGGGUGCAAGCGUUAAUCGGAAUUACUGGGCGUAAAGCGCACGCAGGCGGUCUGUCAAGUCGGAUGUGAAAUCCCCGGGCUCAACCUGGGAACUGCAUUCGAAACUGGCAGGCUAGAGUCUUGUAGAGGGGGGUAGAAUUCCAGGUGUAGCGGUGAAAUGCGUAGAGAUCUGGAGGAAUGCCGGUGGCGAAGGCGGCCCCCUGGACAAAGACUGACGCUCAGGUGCGAAAGCGUGGGGAGCAAACAGGAUUAGAUACCCCAGUAGUC